rnacentral:rRNA from 1 species
ACGAACCGUGCGAACGUUGUUCGGAAUCACUGGGCUUAAAGGGCGCGUAGGUGGGCGUGCAAGUCAGGGGUGAAAUCCUCCGGCUCAACCGGAGAACAGCUUUUGAUACUGCACGGCUCGAGGGGGGUAGGGGCAUGUGGAACUUCCGGUGGAGCGGUGAAAUGCGUAGAUAUUGGGAGGAACACCAGUGGCGAAGGCGGCUCACUGGACUGGUACUGACGCUGAGGCGCGAAAGCGUGGGGAGCAAACAGGA